rnacentral:rRNA from 1 species
UACGAAGGGGGCUAGCGUUGUUCGGAAUCACUGGGCGUAAAGCGCACGUAGGCGGCCACUCAAGUCAGAGGUGAAAGCCCAGGGCUCAACCUUGGAAUUGCCUUUGAAACUAGGUGGCUUGAACAUAGGAGAGGCGAGUGGAAUUCCGAGUGUAGAGGUGAAAUUCGUAGAUAUUCGGAAGAACACCAGUGGCGAAGGCGACUCGCUGGACUAUUGUUGACGCUGAGGUGCGAAAGCGUGGGGAGCAAACAGG